rnacentral:rRNA from 1 species
GAUGAACGCUGGCGGCGUGCCUAAUACAUGCAAGUCGAGCGAACGGACGAGAAGCUUGCUUCUCUGAUGUUAGCGGCGGACGGGUGAGUAACACGUGGAUAACCUACCUAUAAGACUGGGAUAACUUCGGGAACCCGGAGCUAAUACCGGAUAAUAUUUUGAACCGCAUGGUUCAAAAGUGAAAGACGGUCUUGCUGUCACUUAUAGAUGGAUCCGCGCUGCAUUAGCUAGUUGGUAAGGUAACGGCUUACCAAGGCAACGAUGCAUAGCCGACCUGAGAGGGUGAUCGGCCACACUGGAACUGAGACACGGUCCAGACUCCUACGGGAGGCAGCAGUAGGGAAUCUUCCGCAAUGGGCGAAAGCCUGACGGAGCAACGCCGCGUGAGUGAUGAAGGUCUUCGGAUCGUAAAACUCUGUUAUUAGGGAAGAACAUAUGUGUAAGUAACCGUGCACAUCUUGACGGUACCUAAUCAGAAAGCCACGGCUAACUACGUG